UCCAAGCGGCAAAACCUGAUGGCAAUAAGUUAAUCUAGCAAAGCUACGCUCCAUUUACGCUGCCUGUCACGCAAGAGGGAGACAGAGAGAUGGGAGUAUUCUACACAUAAGUGUGUCACAAUUAACAAUACAGAAUUACGCGUUAAUCAAGCGCAAAGACACAAGCACAAAUACAUAUGCACAUACAGUUAUGUAUGCCUGAAGAGAGCAGACAGUUUAAUUAAGUUUUUUGGGCGAUGUUGAGCCACUGUCGUUGCGGAUGCGGAUGGCGUUUCAAUGUUUGGCCCACUGUUAUUGUUGUUGCUGCUGCUAGUGAGAGACAACACAACCAGCCAUAAAUUGUAAAGUACCGUUUUGACCGCGGCACUCAGUUAGCAUACUAAAGUAUGGGAGCAAGAGAGAGAAAAAAUAAACAAGAAUCACCCGUUGUGAGAGCGCCAAACUAAAAGAGAGCCAAAGCUAACGCAUCACAGUGGGAGGGAGAGCGUGAGCGCCCCGUGAUGACAGCGGGUUUCUUAUGUAUGCGUGUGUAUGUGUGUGAGACUGUAAUGAUUUGUGUGAGUCAUGCUGAGAGCGACGUUAAUGUCGCUGCUGAUGAAGGUAAAAAUCAACAAAAAUUAUAAUAAUAAUAAUAAUGGAAAGUAUUUAAAAAAA